CUAGCAAAUCCCAUAAACCGUGGCUCAGUUCAGAUCGUAGGCUGCAACUCGCCUACGUGAAGUAGGAAUCGCUAGUAAUCGCAGGUCAGCAUACUGCGGUGAAUACGUUCCCGGGCCUUGUACACACCGCCCGUCACACCAUGGAAGUUGGCCACGCCCGAAGUCGUUACUUUAACCCUUGUGGAGAAGGACGCCGAAGGUGGGGCUGAUGACUGGGGUGAAGUCGUAACAAGGUAGCCGUACCGGAAGGUGCGGCUGGAUCACCUCCUAA
rnacentral:rRNA from 1 species